CAGCAUGUGGGAUCUUAGUUCCCCUACUCAGGAUGAACCUGUGCCCCCUGCAGUGGAAGCCUGGAGUCUUAACAGCUGGACUCCCUGGGAAGUCCCUGUCUGGGCGCUCUUGUUGAAAGUCAAUUGACUAUAAGUGCAAUGAGGCAUCAGUCUGCUACUAUUACUCCUGCAUUGUAACUCUCACCAAUCUUGUUACCUUGCCUCCCUUCUCCAGAGUUAUGGAGUUGCAAUGGACAUUCCUGUUUCUACCAUUUUGGGAUCAUGCGCUGCAGAGAAAUCCCUGUGGGCGACCGUGACCAAGCCUGACUCUGUGACCUGCCAGGCCAUCCCUUCGGUGUAGCCAGCCCCUUUCUCUUACUUUCUCUUCCCUCUGUCCCCUGAGGAAGCCCAGGACAGGGAACUGGCAACCUGGGCCACCAAGUCAGUCAGUAGAGCACACGUGGAAGGGGAGCCUGAUGGGCCAGGGCUGUCUUAGACCUUCAAUACAUCAGAUUUUGAAGGAAGGCCACCCAGUCUUCUCUGUGUUUCUCUGGGGGGCUUGUUCCUGGGAGUUGCAGUACAUGUUUGAUACUUCCUUGGAGAAUGUAUGCCAAAAAGGAA